UGAAAGCAAACAACUUAGAAUGACUUACUUCAUUAAAUCGGGACGAUCUCAUAUCUUGUAAACUAUUGUGACCUGGUAUUAGCGUUAUAGCAUAAAGUAUUAGUAGAGUGACUACACUGAUACUAAAUCCCAAUGACAAGUUUGGACCACGUGGAUUAAAAAUUCUGCCUCUUCUUAAACUUAAUACAAAACAAAGAUGAACAACCCAUGCUAAUCCUUCAGUACCUGCCACUAAGUAAUCAAUAGGUUUGGCAGAUGUUGCACUAUCUUCAAUUGUGUCUGAUAUUGGAUCGUAAUCUUGCGUAUUAAAGGAAGGAUUGCAAGGCACGCUAUAAUUAAAAUUCUCAGGUUUAUGACAGAAUUAGAGCCAUGAAGACGAAGGGAAUAUGAAUUUCUUUUUCCACAAUGAUAUGCAGAUAUUAUUGCAAUACAGACUAAAACAGGAAUCUGAAAGUUACAAGAAAAAUAUUCAAUAAAUAUAAAAUUACUGAUAUUCUAACAUACAUACAAUAUACAUUAAUGUAUUAACGUUGAAUCACCUGGAGGCAUAGUUGUUGAAAGCACACAUCAAGAUCAUGCGUCUCUGGAUUCAAUGGUUUAAUGCCUCCAUGAUAUCCACAUAAUUCUGUCCAAUUCCAUUUCCAUGACUCUCCAAUUCCAUCAGAUAACCAAUUAUUAUCCAUAUUUUAUAGCUAUAAAAAAUUUUGAAUAGAAACAGGGGAUUGGAAAUGUAUUCAUAAAUCCAGAAAGAAAUUAAAAUAAAAUUCACUUUACACAUUAAAAAUGUA